ACGCACACGGAUGUUUAGCCAAAUCGAACUUUAUGAGCAGUUGAGAAAUGCCUAGCUGCUGCCACCAUUUCCUCCUCCGGCCUGAAGGGUGCUGAGUUUCUUGAAGACCUGGCGGCCUCAACAUCAGAGCUUGCAGCGUCAUGGAAGAAGAAAACCAACCACCUUAAAAAGGCGGCACGCCGACUUGUGCUCCUCUCCCUGUAGCCCAUUUUGUUCAAGAAAGACUGCUAUGUUAUCCCUCAAUCAAGAACAGUCGAGUCGAAUUAUGAUAAAAGCAGAUGUAUAAAUGCUUGCUU
rnacentral:lncRNA from 1 species